rnacentral:rRNA from 1 species
UUUACGGAGAGUUUGAUCCUGGCUCAGGACGAACGCUGGCGGCGUGCUUAACACAUGCAAGUCGAACGGUGAAGAGAAGCUUGCUUCUUGGAUCAGUGGCGAACGGGUGAGUAACACGUGAGUAACCUGCCCCCGACUCUGGGAUAAGCACUGG